rfam:Porphyromonas catoniae ATCC 51270 ctg7180000005746, whole genome shotgun sequence.
GCCUAGAUGGUGGAAUGGUAGACACGAGGGACUUAAAAUCCCUUGGCCAAUUUGGCUGUGUGGGUUCGAGUCCCACUCUAGGUA